rnacentral:rRNA from 1 species
UACGGAGGGUGCAAGCGUUAUCCGGAUUCACUGGGUUUAAAGGGUGCGUAGGUGGGUUGGUAAGUCAGUGGUGAAAUCUCCGAGCUUAACUUGGAAACUGCCAUUGAUACUAUCAGUCUUGAAUAUUGUGGAGGUCAGCGGAAUAUGUCAUGUAGCGGUGAAAUGCUUAGAUAUGACAUAGAACACCAAUUGCGAAGGCAGCUGGCUACAUAUAUAUUGACACUGAGGCACGAAAGCGUGGGGAUCAAACAGG